rnacentral:lncRNA from 1 species
UGCAGACACGCAGUGCUGAUGAGCCCAUGACUACCUUUGUUUUAUGCAAUGAAUGUGGCAAUCGCUGGAAGUUCUGCUGAUAGAACCACCAGCCAGAAUUUCAAUGAACAAGGUGAGGAAGAACAAAGAGAAAGCACUAAGCCGUCGUGACUGGAGAAAAAUAAAUAUUAAAAUGAAGAAAAAUGCUGAACUCUGAACGGACCAUUAGGGAUCAGAGGGAAAAUUCGUUUGCAAAUUCGUUCAGUUAUUGAUAGUGAUUGGUGAAGAGAGGGAUGCUAGUAGGGGUAUCACGUUAAGCCCAUGUUGACAAACCCUUUGUAGAAACUCAGAGACUUCAGAGCCGUAUCUUUGACAGUGGCUGGCAGACCUUUGCUCUGCGUCCCUUCCCUCACAUCUGAACCUCUCAGCCUCUUCUGAGUUGAAAAAUACCAGACUGAUUCAACUCUUACCCACUCCACACUGGGUCUGCCUAUAUGGACAAAUGGCAGAUAUGACUUCUGCAUCAUGUAGAGAGAUUUCUUUCCCACCCCUCAUCUCUUCCCAAACUCAGCUGUUCCCUGUUCUUAGCUGGCUCUGGGAGCCUUCAAGGACUCCAGACCUGGUCCCUCUAGGCACAGCGCAUGUUUUCUUGAGCUGAGGGUUUCUGACACCCAAAUUUGGUGGCCCACAGGAGGUCCUGAGUCUUGGAACCUGUCCAAGCUCUGGCAGUGCGUUCCUCCUCACAGCUCUGUUGUGGCCCAGGCUACAGAGGAAAUCUGCAGGACACAAGGGGCCUUGUUGUGCUUCUCCCAUAAUGAAACUGGCUUGCUUUUUCAGCUGAUAGGAACUUUAGACCAAGCUGGAACCUUCUGGAAAAGCCUUGGGAGCAGGUCUGGUGGGCUUCUCCUGGGUCUCAGCCUCUGACCAUCCCUGGCCUUGGGGCAGCCCCAGGCAGAGCCUCCUGGAUUCUUUUUUCUAAAAUAGAUAACACGUAGGAGGUUGUGAACUGCUGGGGGCUCAAGCAAGUCAUUUAACAUCUCUGAGCUGUUUCCUUACCCAUAAAAAUGGAGUAGUGCUAGUACCUGCCUGAUAGGGUUUCCACUUACACUGGUUCACUUAGGGUAGCUGUUGGGAUAACUUCAGCCCGUUUCUUAUGUGCCCUGGCAUUGUCCACUCUGGAAUUUAUCUGUUAUCACCUUCCUCCUUCCCCCACCAAGUGCCUCCUCCUGUAGAUGAAGCCUGUAAAUAAACUGUGUACAGAAAC